rnacentral:sRNA from 1 species
CAUCGAACGACGGCGCAUGAGAGCGCGCCAGAGUGCGAAAGCGAAAGUCGGUAACGUACCCAAAUCGCUCGUCGCACCGCCCGCCAAGACCGGCCCCGUCGAUCGCCCGGUGUCUCCUCCACCCUCCUCCUUUGGUGGAUUCGAACCCAAGUCCAACCGACUUGGGUUUUUUUUCG